CCUCUCUCCAUCUGUCGACCACCGCCAUCAUCAUACCAGUACCACACCACCUCUACCCUCUCACCUGUCCCUCGUCUUCCGUACACAGGCCCACCCCCUCCCUCAUUCUGCGCGCACACGUUUUAGCGAAGCGGAUCGCACAUACGUGGUACGUGUGUGCCCAACGGAACACAUAUACAUACAUCUAUCCAUCUAUAUAUAUAUAGGUAGAUAUCUACACAUAGGUAUAUCUAUCGAUCUACGUGUGCGUGUUUGUGUGUGUGUGUGUGUGUCCGUAUGUUCUGUUAGUCUUUGAAGACGCUGAGUCAACAUCCCUUCCCUUUUUUCUUUUGCUUAUUUCCCCACCCCCACCAGCCCGGAUGUUGUCGGGCAACACCAUCGCGGCCUCUGCGCAGCCGCCGAUCGCCGCCAAGAAGCCGCACCGCGUCACGUUCGGCUACGUGGAGGGUGAGGACCGCGGCCCAAACCCGAUGAAUCCACCGCGCUACCGCGAGGACCCGUAUUUUUGGAUGCGCGAUGACAAUCGCAAGGAUCCGGCCGUGAUUGAGCACCUCAACAAGGAGAAGGCCUACUUCCAGGCGCGCAGCGCCGACAUUGCGCAGCUGCGCGACGACAUCUACACGGAGCACAUAUCGCACAUCAAGGAGGACGACAUGUCCGCGCCGUACGUGUACGGCAAGUACCGGUACUACACCCGCGAGGUGAAGGGUAAGUCGUACAAGAUUUACUGCCGCGUGUCCAAGGACAAGGAGCCGGGCGACGUCGCGGCAGAGGAAGUCAUCAUCGAUGUCAACCAAGUCGCCGAGGGCAAACCGUUCUGUGACGUGAUGGAGGUGAAGCCAGCACCGCCGGAGCACGACCUCGUGGCCUUCUCUGUGGACAUGAGCGGUAACGAGGUGUACACGAUCGAAUUUAAAAGGAUUUCGGACCCGUGCCAAACUAUCGCCGACAAGGUGAGCGGCACCAAUGGCGAGAUCGUGUGGGGCCCGGACCAGACCUCCUUAUUCUACGUGACCAAAGACGAGACGCUGCGCGAUAACAAGGUGUGGCGCCACGUGAUGGGCAAGCCGCAGUCCGAGGACGUCUGCCUCUACGAGGAGAACAACCCGCUGUUCAGCGCCUUCAUGUACAAGGCCGCGGACACAAACACACUGUGCAUCGGCUCGCAGUCGCCGGAGACGGCAGAGGUGCACCUGCUUGAUCUGCGCAGGGGCAACGCCCACAAUACGCUUGAAAUUGUGCGGCCGCGCGAGAAGGGCGUGCGCUACGACGUGCAGAUGCACGGCACCAGCCAUCUUGUGAUCCUCACCAACGAAGGCGGGGCGGUGAACCACAAGCUUCUCAUAGCGCCGCGCGGGCAGCCGAGCGACUGGUCACAUGUGCUGGUGGAUCACAGCGAGGACGUGUUUAUGGAGAGCAUCGCGGUGCGCUCGAACUACCUCGUCGUGACAGGCCGCCGCGCCGGGCUGACGCGCAUCUGGACGAUGAUGGUGGACCCGCAGGAUGGCGUCUUCAAGGCUAGCACCGGGCUGCGCGAGGUGGUGAUGGAGGAGCCGAUCUUCACGGUGCACCUCGUGGCGUUCCAGAUGUUGGAGUACGAAGAGCCAACGUUCCGCAUGGAGUACUCGUCCCUUGCCACGCCGAACACCUGGCUCGACGUCAAUCCGCAGGACCACUCUCGCACCGCUGUGAAAGUGCGCGAGGUCGGCGGUGGCUUCGACGCCGCCAACUACAAGGUGGAGCGCCGCUUCGCUACCGCACCAGACCAGACCAAGAUCCCGCUCUCAGUUGUCUACCACAAAGACCUCGACAUGAGCCAGCCGCAGCCGUGCAUGCUGUACGGGUACGGCAGCUACGGCCUUAGCAUGGACCCUCAGUUCAGCAUUCAGCACCUGCCGUACUGUGACCGCGGCAUGAUCUUCGCCAUAGCCCACAUCCGCGGCGGCAGUGAGAUGGGCCGUGCAUGGUACGAGAUCGGCGCCAAGUACCUCACGAAGCGCAACACCUUUUCCGACUUCAUCGCGGCAGCCGAGUUCCUGGUGAACGCGAAAUUGACGACGCCGUCGCAGCUGGCCUGCGAGGGGCGUAGCGCCGGCGGCCUGCUGGUGGGCGCCGUGCUGAACAUGCGUCCCGAUCUCUUCAAGGUGGCGCUCGCCGGCGUGCCGUUCGUGGAUGUCAUGACGACCAUGUGCGACCCCAGCAUUCCCUUGACGACGGGCGAGUGGGAGGAGUGGGGCAACCCGAACGAGUACAAGUACUACGACUACAUGCUGAGCUACAGCCCCGUGGACAACGUCCGCGCGCAGGAGUACCCGAAUAUCAUGGUCCAGUGCGGCCUGCACGACCCCCGCGUCGCUUAUUGGGAGCCGGCCAAGUGGGUGAGCAAGCUGCGUGAGUGCAAAACGGACAACAACGAAAUUCUGCUGAACAUGGACAUGGAGAGCGGGCACUUCUCCGCCAAGGAUCGCUACAAGUUCUGGAAGGAGUCGGCUAUCCAGCAAGCGUUCGUGUGCAAGCACCUGAAGAGCACCGUGCGCCUGCUGGUUCGCAGGUAAGAGUCGUGAUCAUUAACUCUAGGGCACGAUGGCACAUGUUCACGUCUUCACAAGGGACGAGGGAGCUUGUCUGUCUAUCUGUGGGUACGUCCGCGUGCAUGCUGGGAUGCUUGUAUGGUUGAUUUCUUCUUGGAUUAUCUUACGUCUGCGCUUCUUGGUGCAGCAAGCCGUUAUCGCCCUCUUCCUCCCUCCACUGCGUGUAGCGCCCCCCCCCCACUACCACCUUCCCGCCUCCGGUAGCGGAGAACACCUUACAUAUAUGCACACACAUAUAUAUAUAAUUUCUUCCGUCUUCCGUUGUUUGCGAUUUGCCGUGUAUCGCUGUGCGCGUCUCGCAUGGGCAUGGCAGUGCGGCAAGAGUUGGGUGAGGGUGACGAGCCUGUGUUCGCUGUCCGGUGGAAGCGCGAUGCCUGGUAUCCUGGUCAGGGUUCCUGUCAGCUGCCAUUCUAGUUGAGAAGCGGCCCUAGUUACAUGCUGGGCCCUUCUCUCUCCCGCUUCCACCAGUGGCCGUGCCUCGAGAGAGCGUCCCCCUAUCCGUCCGACCCGACCCCCACCCCUUCCCCUCUCAUGGCCUCACCCGGUGAGACAGGAAGGCUGUGAGGGCACGGAUGGCGCCGCGCUCUCGUGCACACACAAGCAAGGACGUAUACAGGGAUUCACUCUACUAAAUAAUGUGCUCUAUUUCUGCCGGUGUAGCCCUCGUUGUAAGCGGCCCGGCCGCACCUACACACAUGCACACGCACAUGCUUCAGGAGGUGAGACCGCCCUCCGCGUCUCUCCUCCUUUCCGACGUGGCAUCGUUCUACACGAGCCGAUGCUUUAAAGUACGAAGCCAGCGAGCCAGGCAGGAUAGAAACAACGCCCGACCUCCUGCCCCCUCCCCUCCCCAUCCCUCGCUCGCUUACAAGCGUCGGCGCAGCAGAGAUGACAGUUGAAGGGUGCGUGCAUGUGUAUGUUUAUGACUGGCACCUCCUCCUCUUGACAGCGUGCCUUACGCUAUCCUGUGGGGUGUAGUGGGGGUGUUCGACGGCUGCCCUCUCUCUGUCUCUCAUGACGAUGCCAGAGCAAGCAAGCAACGAAACGCGCAUCCCCUC
rnacentral:misc_RNA from 1 species